rnacentral:rRNA from 1 species
UAGGGAAUCUUCCACAAUGGGCGCAAGCCUGAUGGAGCAACACCGCGUGAGUGAAGAAGGGUUUCGGCUCGUAAAACUCUGUUGUUAGAGAAGAACAAGGGUGAGAGUAACUGUUCACCCCUUGACGGUAUCUAACCAGAAAGCCACGGCUAACUACGUGCCAG